rnacentral:rRNA from 1 species
AUUGAACGCUGGCGGCAUGCCUUACACAUGCAAGUCGAACGGCAGCACGGGAGCAAUCCUGGUGGCGAGUGGCGAACGGGUGAGUAAUGUAUCGGAACGUGCCCAGUCGUGGGGGAUAACGUAGCGAAAGCUACGCUAAUACCGCAUACGAUCUAUGGAUGAAAGCGGGGGAUCGCAAGACCUCGCGCGAUUGGAGCGGCCGAUAUCAGAUUAGGUAGUUGGUGGGGUAAAGGCCCACCAAGCCUGCGAUCUGUAGCUGGUCUGAGAGGACGACCAGCCACACUGGAACUGAGACACGGUCCAGACUCCUACGGGAGGCAGCAGUGGGGAAUUUUGGACAAUGGGCGCAAGCCUGAUCCAGCAAUGCCGCGUGCAGGAUGAAGGCCUUCGGGUUGUAAACUGCUUUUGUACGGAACGAAACGGCUUUUUCUAAUACAGAGAGCUAAUGACGGUACCGUAAGAAUAAGCACCGGCUAGCUACGUGCCAGCCGCCGCAGUAAAAC